UUAAAAAAUGGAACUCCGUCCUUAAGUGAAAGCUGUAGAAGAGCCUGAAGAGUUGGGGGAAGAUGCUUUUUCGCAUGAACAUGCUUGCUGUGGUUAGUGGGCAAAGUAUUGCCAUUUGAGUUUUCAUUAGAAAGUGGAAAUGUCUCAGCUGAAUGAACGCCCUUAGGCUUCAGCAAUGGAUCUAAGAGUCUUCUCAAAGGACUAGAUUUUCCUCUGAUAUUAGCAUUUGGCUUCUCCCGAUUACUGAGAUCCGCACUGGAAGAAGCUCCUGCUGGGCCAGACUUGGGGAUGCUAUUUGUACUAUUCAGUGGUGGAGCAGCAGAGGUCUCCUUAAAACUGAAACUUCUGCUCAUUCGACUAAG
rnacentral:misc_RNA from 1 species